UACGGAGGGUGCAAGCGUUGUCCGGAAUCACUGGGCGUAAAGGGCGCGUAGGCGGCUCAUGAAGGCUGUGGUGAAAGUCCGGGGCUCAACCUCGGAUCGGCCGUGGCGACUCGUGGGCUGGAGCACUGUAGAGGCAGGCGGAAUUCCGGGUGUAGCGGUGGAAUGCGUAGAGAUCCGGAAGAACACCGGUGGCGAAGGCGGCCUGCUGGGACAGUGCUGACGCUGAGGCGCGACAGCGUGGGGAGCAAACAGG
rnacentral:rRNA from 1 species